GGGAAACUGCCCGAUGGAGGGGGAUAACUACUGGAAACGGUAGCUAAUACCGCAUAACGUCGCAAGACCAAAGUGGGGGACCUUCGGGCCUCACACCAUCGGAUGUGCCCAGAUGGGAUUAGCUAGUAGGUGGGGUAAUGGCUCACCUAGGCGACGAUCCCUAGCUGGUCUGAGAGGAUGACCAGCCACACUGGAACUGAGACACGGUCCAGACUCCUACGGGAGGCAGCAGUGGGGAAUAUUGCACAAUGGGCGCAAGCCUGAUGCAGCCAUGCCGCGUGUAUGAAGAAGGCCUUCGGGUUGUAAAGUACUUUCAGCGGGGAGGAAGGCGGUGAAGUUAAUAGCUUCACCGAUUGACGUUACCCGCAGAAGAAGCACCGGCUAACUCCGUGCCAGCAGCCGCGGUAAUACGGAGGGUGCAAGCGUUAAUCGGAAUUACUGGGCGUAAAGCGCACGCAGGCGGUCUGUCAAGUCGGAUGUGAAAUCCCCGGGCUUAACCUGGGAACUGCAUUCGAAACUGGCAGGCUGGAGUCUUGUAGAGGGGGGUAGAAUUCCAGGU
rnacentral:rRNA from 1 species